GAUGAACGCUAGCGGCAGGCUUAAUACAUGCAAGUCAAGGGGGUAGCAAUACAACCGGCGCACGGGUGAGUAACGCGUACACAACAUACCAUAUACUGGAGUAUAGCUUUGGGAAACUGAAGGUAAUCCUCCAUAACAUUGCGAGAGGGCAUCUGAUUGCAAUUAAAGUUUCGGCGGUAUAUGAUUGGUGUGCGUUUGAUUAGCUAGUUGGUAGGGUAACGGCCUACCAAGGCGACGAUCAAUAGCUGGCGUGAGAGCGCGACCAGCCACACUGGAACUGAGACACGGUCCAGACUCCUACGGGAGGCAGCAGUAGGGAAUAUUGGACAAUGGAGGAAACUCUGAUCCAGCCAUGCCGCGUGAUAGAUGAAGGCCCUCUGGGUUGUAAAUAUCUUUUAUCUGGGAAGAAACACUCCUAUUCUUAGGAACUUGACGGUA
rnacentral:rRNA from 1 species